ensembl:lncRNA
GUAUCUCCUGUUAGCAGACGAAAGGUGCUGCCUCAGGAAGAGGUGAUCGGAGCUGGAGCGGUUGAGAGCAGGCGGUCACGUGAACAGAGAGAGAGAGAGCGAGAGAGAGAGCGAGAGAGCGAGAGCGAGAGAGAGAGAGAGAGAGAGAGAGAGAGAGAGAGAAGAGAGGGAGGGGUGACGAGGAGGACGAGGAGGAGGAGGACGAGGAGGAGGAGGAGGAGGAGGAGGACGAGGAGGAGGAGGACGAGGAGGAGGAGAAUAAAGCAGACGGACAGAUCAACAAAGAGCCCAAGAGACCAGAGGGAGGCCGACAUGGACCCGAGGUGAAAGGAGUAACAGCAGAAAGGAGGAGCUCCGUGCCGCGGCCCUUUUCCCUCUUUUUCCUUCCUCUCCUCACAUCAACUCUCUGGUCUCACACUUAGGGAGGCCUGUGACCAAAUGGGGACUGCAGGGUCUGAUCGCGCGCCUAAGAAGGUCUUUCUUCUUCCAGAUCACACUGUCUACUGGGCUAGGUUUGACACUUCCCACUCCCAGAACAACAAAAUGAGCUGUGAUCGGCCCGACCCUACUGCUGGCCCCUUGUUGGUGCUGAUUACUGGGAAUUGGCUAUAAUUUUCCAAAGUACUACCAAUUCAAUGAAAACGUUGCUCAGCCUGCUUUUUCCAUUGAGGAAGUGCGGGCCAGGAGGAAAUGAAGUCAAUAUCCUGUCUGUCCCCAGUCCCCCUGCCCCACAAGGGUAGGGGGUGACCACCCACUCAGUGAAUAUGGCCCAAAGGCACCAAAGUCUCUGCCCUGGCAUUGCCAUCCUUUCUCAUCACACACAUGGCCUUAACAUUCCUUGCUAGGAUUGAACAACUAGACAGUGUCUCUAAAUUCAGACUCUGGGGGUCUGUAUGAGCAGGCCAGGUAUUCCUUAGAUACCCUACUUCUCUCUUCCUGACAUCUUAAUCAUAUGAAUUAUGUUAUCUGAUAUCUUGCUUAGUUUGCAAAAAUAUGUCUUACUAGCCGGGCAUUGGUGGUGCAUGCCUUUAAUCCCAGCACUCGGGAGGCAGAGGCAGGUGGAUCUCUGUGAGUUCGAGGCCAGCCUGGUCUCCAGAGAGAGUGCCAGGAUAGGCUCCAAAGCUACACAGAGAAACCCUGUCUCGGAAAACAAAACAAAACAAAAGUCUUACUCUCUAUUUGUCCACAGGCGUUUUACUAAGGUCCCCAAGAGCCCAGUAUUUCUCUAGCCUUACAGCCUUUCUUCUAGCCAACCCUCAGCUGCACUAGAAGUUGAGGUCUUACAAACAAGGCCAUAUUUCACUGCAAAAAGGUCAUGACAGCUCCAAACUUUAGGUCUUGACUUAUAAAAUGCCAUCCUCAAGGCUAGAGAUGUCAUUUUGAGAAGUGGCUGGCUGGAUUUCUCAGGGCAAUGGGACCAAAUUCCAAAACAGGCUGCAGACCCAAUGGCAUCCUUUCCCACAUUCUAGUGGAAGGGCUAUCCUUUCACCAAAUCAAAUAUUUAGGGGUCAUUACUCAAUUGCCCUAUCUGUUUUUUAUUCCUUAAAUGUCUGGUCACAAUUGAGUAUCCCUUUGUACUCAGGACUAGGCAGAGAAUCCUUUCCCACCAGGAACUUGUGCUCCACUAAGAAAGACAAUGGUGGAACAGGCCUUUAAUCUCAGCGUUUGUCAGGAGGGGAGCAGAUGCAAGAGGAACUCUGAGUUUGAGGUCAGCCUGAUCUACAGAGCAAGUUCCAGGACAGCCAGGGCUGUUACACAGAGAAACCCUGUCUUGGAAACCACCCCCCCCAAAAAAAAACAGAGAGAGAGAGAGAGAGAGAGAGAGAGAGAGAGAGAGAGAGAGAAGAAAAGAAAAGAAAAAGAAAGACAUUGAAACCUGCCAUAUGGCAGCACAAGCCAUAAAAUCUCAGGAGGCAGAAGCAGGAAGAUCUCUGUGAUCAAGG